rnacentral:lncRNA from 1 species
GAGAUGGUGUUUUGCCACGUUGCCCAGGUCUUGAACUCCUGGGCUCAAGCGAUCCACCUGUCUAGUCCUCCCAAAGCUCUAGAAUCACAGGUGUGAGCCACUGUGCUCAGCCCAUUUACAUUCUUGAUCAAAUAAUCUCCACUCUUCUCUUAAGAUCCUGGGAACACUACAUGGGUCCCAUGAUGAUGUUUGGGACUUGCAGACUAAAUGAGACCGCCAAUUUAAUGCAUCUAUUAAUAUUAGUCAAGUUAAACGUCUUAAUUUUUGAUAAAACUAAAUGUAAGUGGAAGUUUUAGCAUUUUCUCCAGCACUCCAAUGGAUCAGCGCUGGACAUUCUGUUUGGGAGACCACUGAUCUAGAUCAAGGGCUGUUGGAAGGGCUGUGAAAUUCUUUAAUACUUAAAAAAUUAUUUAAUUUAAAAAAUUGACAGAUAACAUGAUGUUUUCAAAUAUGUCUACCUUGUGGAAUGGGAAAGUCAAGCUAAUUAACAUAUGCAUUACUUCGCAUAAAUCCUUUGAUACUUUUUAUUAGAUUCUGCCAUAUUGCUUACUAUAGCUUUGGGAAACACAGGGGCGAUAUGGAUGGAUCACCAUUGUACAGUCAAAGAAACUCACAGGAAGGCACCCUGGUCACUUCCAAGAUUGUGGACUACUGGGGCCAUCUCUGUUUUAUUACCUCUAAUCACUAAGUGAGUCUUUGCCCCAUUUUCUUAAGGCUGUGUUGUUCUUUUAGACUGGCUACAGUGGGGCUUCCAAAGAUAAGACAGAAUAUCCCAUAGCAAACAAGCUGUCAAGUUGGCCAGGGUGAUUUGUUAGGAUUUCUUUUUUGGCCAAUUAAAAAAUAGCUGUCAAAAGCACUACUUUGUAGGACUCAUUAAGGUAAUGUUCAAAUUGUCUCUAAUGGUUCUUUGACCAUGAUUAAGCAAAACAAAUAACACAAAACAAAAAUCUUCCUAUUUCCCAGAGUCCUGGGUUUAUCACAAAUGCUAUUAAGGUUACGAGUUUUGUCCUUUGAUAAAAGAAGAACCACGUUUGGAAAUUGUCAUUACCCUUUAUUUUUCAACACACACACACACACACACACACACACACACACUCCUACAUUGGUUUGUUUCUGAGCGAUGUGUAAGGGAAUUAAAAAAAUCCUUUGGUAAAUACAUAUGCUAGUGUAAAUGGGUAGAAGUUAUUAGUUUUAAACACUUCAUAUAGUAUGGAGUGCAAGUAACAAGGCUCCCAGCUGAAAUGAUUAAAAAGUGAUAUUGUAGAAAAAGGUGUGGUCCCAGACUUCCUGUACCAGUGUUACUUGUUGAGAUUGUUCUGAAUCUGCCUAUUCUCAGGUUCCUCCUCCAGGAUACUGACAUAGCAACAACACGGAUUUUUCAGGCGAUUCUUAGGAACAAUGGAGUUUGAGCACCAUUUGGUCUAGGCUGUGUGUCAAUAAAGGUAUCAACUCAAGCGUGUACACACUGCAGUCUGCUGUACUGGAAAUGACUUAUUUAUUCUACGUUCAUUCACAGCUUCUGUUUAUGGCAUAAUACCUUCUGAGAGUAGGCCAUUAUGACAACAAUGCCUCUGUUUCCUCCAGAUUCUUGGCUGUCACUAUCCUGACCUACCACCUGUGUCACAUCCCAUUAGGUUCUGUGGAUGAGGCAUGGUGCUUGGCACAGACUGACACAAGUUUGGGCAAACUUGGCAGAGCAGCCUAACCCAAAGCGAAAAACAGAAAUGAACCAAGAUACAACCUCUGUGGAAAACCCUACUGAACAAAAGCAACUCUGUGGAGUGUCCUCUCAGCUGCAAAUUGAGACAGAAUUGUGGGGCAAGCUUGGCCACUGAUGCAGAUUCUGCAGCUUGCUACACAGAAAGCCAGAGACCGAGAGCCAAUGACUGAGACUAUGAGUAUUGCCAAGGAAGAAGGCUUUAAUCGGGUGCUGCAGCUGAAAAGAUGAGAGCUCAGCCUCAAAUCCAUCUCCCUGACCAACUAAAGCUAAGGAUUUAUAUAGCAGGGAAGAAGACAGGAACUAGGAAGGGGCAAGGAAGCGAUCCUGAUGAAUGAAGGGUCAGGCAUUUCAUUGUCUGGAUGUGGCGAUCUGCUCACACUGGUCACACCUGGGACUUCCAACAUGAAUGCUUUUGUCACGGAUGCUGCGCUGCUGCUGUUUCUGGUUCUUACUCUGCUUACACCAAGGAGACUGAUGUCCCUGCUAUAACCCCACUUCCGAUGCAGACAGCAAUUCCAAUGCAUUGCAGCUUUCAGGAUUUUCUCACUGUGUUUUUGCCUCUCCUUUUCUUUAAGACAUGAGCAUUUGUCUACGGGGAUGGCCUGAAGUGUAGUCUCCAUUACCCAGAGUCAUCUCACUCUCUGACCUUGACUCAUGAUCUGAGAACAAGUGCUCCCCUGCUUGUCUUCCUGAGGGGCAUCUGUCCCUCUUGCAAACAGAUUUCCUUUGGGCUCUGUCAUUUAGAAAUGCCCUUAUUUAUCUGAAUUAUAGUUCCAGUUCAGAACAUUUACAAAGGAACAGAUUGCUCCCAAUUUUAAAGCAGGUAAAUUCUAAAAGUUGGCAAGCCAGUCAUUUAGAAUUUGAGCCUCAUAUUCCAUAGGUAUGAAAUUAUACAUAAUGAAAAAGUUCCCAGGGCAGCCCACAAAAAGCCUACUUAUCCAAAAUAAAGCUAACCUGAGUUAAUUCAGCUCUAUGGCCUAGCCACAUUCA